GGUCAAGUAAUUAAGUGCACACGGUGGAUGCCUUGGCAGUAGAAGGCGAUGAAAGACGUGUUAGCCUGCGAAAAGCUUCGGGGAGUUGGCAAAUAAGCAUUGAUCCGGAGAUAUCUGAAUGGGGAAACCCAACCCGCAAGGGUUAUUGCUACCUGAAUACAUAGGGUAGUGAAGCGAACCUGGAGAACUGAAACAUCUCAGUACCCAGAGGAAAAGAAAUCAACCGAGAUUUCCCUAGUAGUGGCGAGCGAAAGGGAAAGAGCCCAGUCACAUCAAGUUUGAUUAUCGUAACAGAACGGUUUGGAAAAGCCGGCAAUAAAGGGUGAUAGCCCCGUACGUAAAACGAUAGUUAGAUGGGUGACGAAGAGUAGGUCGGGACACGUGAAAUCCUGAUUGAAUAUGGGGGGACCAUCCUCCAAGGCUAAAUACUCUCUACUGACCGAUAGUGAACUAGUACCGUGAGGGAAAGGCGAAAAGAACCCCGGAGAGGGGAGUGAAAUAGAACCUGAAACCGUGUGCAUACAAGCAGUAGGAGCGGACUUUGUUCCGUGACUGCGUACCUUUUGUAUAAUGGGUCAGCGAGUUACUUUCAUUGGCAAGCUUAACCGAAUAGGGGAGGCGAAGGGAAACCGAGUCUUAAUAGGGCGAUAAGUCGAUGUGAGUAGACCCGAAACCGGGCGAUCUAUCCAUGACCAGGAUGAAGGUUAGGUAACACUGACUGGAGGUCCGAACCCACUCCUGUUGAAAAAGUAGGGGAUGAGUUGUGGAUAGGAGUGAAAGGCUAAUCAAGCCCGGAGAUAGCUGGUUCUCCUCGAAAGCUAUUGAGGUAGCGCCUCGUGUGAUCACUCUUGGGGGUAGAGCACUGUGCCGGCUAGGGGGUCUUUAUAGGCUUACCAAACCGAUGCAAACUUCGAAUACCGAGAAGUGCAACACGGGAGACACACGGCGGGUGAUAAGGUCCGUCGUGAAGAGGGACACAGCCCAGACCGACAGCUAAGGUCCCAAAGUCAUGGUUAAGUGGGAAACGAUGUGAGAAGUCCGAGACAGCCAGGAGGUUGGCUUAGAAGCAGCCAUCCUUUAAAGAAAGCGUAAUAGCUCACUGGUCGAGUCGGCUUGCGCGGAAGAUGUAACGGGGCUAAAACCAUGCACCGAAGCUUCGGAUUUGAAUCUAUUUAUAGAUUUGAGUGGUAGAGGAGCGUUCUGUAAGUCUGUGAAGGUGCAUUGAGAAGUGUGCUGGAGAUAUCAGAAGUGCGAAUGCUGACAUGAGUAACGAUAAUGCGGGUGAAAAACCCGCACGCCGUAAAUCCAAGGAUUCCUGCGCCACGGUAAUCGGCGCAGGGUGAGUCGGCCCCUAAGGCGAGGCAGAGAUGCGUAGUCGAUGGGAAACGGGUUAAUAUUCCCGUACUUGGUAAUACUGCGAAGUGAUGACGGAGAAGGCUAAAUUGGCCGGGUGUUGGAUGUCCUGGUUUAAGCGAGUAGGAAGAGGUCUUAGGCAAAUCCGGGAUCUCAUUAAUUCUGAGACGUGAUGACGAGUUAUCUUUUAGAUAAUGAAGUAAUUGAUGCCAAGCUUCCAAGAAAAGUCUCUAAGCGAUAGGUAUUACUGAACCGUACCGAAAACCGACACAGGUGGAUGAGUAGAGAAUACUAAGGCGCGUGAGAGAACCCAGGUGAAGGAACUAGGCAAAAUAGCACCGUAACUUCGGGAGAAGGUGUGCCACUGGUAUGUGAAGGUCUUUACGACUGGAGCGGAGAGUGGUUGCAAUAGUCAGGUGGUUGCGACUGUUUAAUAAAAACACAGCACUCUGCGAACUCGGAAGAGGAAGUAUAGGGUGUGACGCCUGCCCGGUGCCGGAAGGUUAAUUGAUGGGGUCAGCGCAAGCGAAGCUCUUGAUCGAAGCCCCGGUAAACGGCGGCCGUAACUAUAACGGUCCUAAGGUAGCGAAAUUCCUUGUCGGGUAAGUUCCGACCUGCACGAAUGGCGUAACGACAGCCACGCUGUCUCCACCUGGGACUCAGUGAAGUUGAAUUUGCUGUGAAGAUGCAGUGUACCCGCGGCAAGACGGAAAGACCCCGUGCACCUUUACUAUAGCUUUGCACUGGACUUUGAGUUUUUCUGUGUAGGAUAGGUGGGAGGCAUUGAAGCAGACGCGCUAGCGUAUGUGGAGCCAACCUUGAAAUACCACCCUGAAACACUUGGAGUUCUAACCUAGUCCCGUAAUCCGGGAUGGGGACAGUGCAUGGUGGGUAGUUUGACUGGGGCGGUCUCCUCCCAAAGAGUAACGGAGGAGCACGAAGGUACUCUCAGUGCGGUCGGAAAUCGCACGUUGCGUGUAAGAGCGGAAGAGUGCUUGACUGUGAGAUUGACGGAUCGAGCAGGUGCGAAAGCAGGUUCUAGUGAUCCGGUGGUUCUGAAUGGAAGGGCCAUCGCUCAACGGAUAAAAGGUACGCCGGGGAUAACAGGCUGAUACCGCCCAAGAGUUCAUAUCGACGGCGGUGUUUGGCACCUCGAUGUCGGCUCAUCACAUCCUGGGGCUGAAGCUGGUCCCAAGGGUAUGGCUGUUCGCCAUUUAAAGUGGUACGCGAGCUGGGUUUAGAACGUCGUGAGACAGUUCGGUCCCUAUCUGCCGUGGGCGUUAGAGAUUUGAGGGGAGCUGUUCCUAGUACGAGAGGACCGGAAUGGACGAACCUCUGGUGUACCGGUUGUCAUGCCAAUGGCACUGCCGGGUAGCUAUGUUCGGAAAGGAUAACCGCUGAAAGCAUCUAAGCGGGAAACCUGCCCCAAGAUGAGAUCUCUCGAGCCGUAAGGCUCCUGAAGGUUUGUUGAAGACUACAACGUUGAUAGGCUGGAUGUGUAAGUGCAGCAAUGUAUGAAGCUUACCAGUACUAAUUGACCGUGAGGCUUGACCAU
rnacentral:rRNA from 1 species